UCACUUUCUAACAUUUUUGCAAUCAAAAAAUUAUCUUUUAAAGAAGUUUACUAAUUUUCAUGGGAUGAUCACAGAUUAGCUGCAAGCAAUUUGCUCAUGAAAGGGCUUUUUAUAACACAUCAUAGAUUACCAAUAAAUGGGCUGAAAUGACUUCAUACUAAAUGUAAAACAGAUUACCUUUCCAUCUGUAAUUCAGUGUUCAAAAGAAACAAAAUAUUAGCAAGUUAUUCAUAAUACAUAAUUCAUUUUUAUGUGAGCAUUAGUAAUUCUGGCCUACUUGUGGUCCGGAUAAACCCAUAUUUAUGAUGUUGUAACUUAAAGUGUCUUUCACUCUGUUCAUGGUGUUCUUUUUACAUUAAAAAAAAAAAUUAGAAGUAGGGAAGGCCAUAGCUUCUCAUUUUAAAUGUGCUCAUUCCUGGGGAGCUAAGCAUAUGAAAAUUAUAAUCCAACAAACAUCUGUUUCUAAACUACUGAUGCUUUAGCAUGAACUAGAAAUAUAAAUUUUAAUCUGAUGACUGAAAGCAUCCCUUUAACUGUUUUUUUUUUUUUUUUUUUUUUUUUUUUUUUUUUUUUUGAGUAGUCCAGUGGGAUGACAUCUGGAGGGGCUAUGCUUUAGAUUAUUUAUAGAUGUGGGCAAUAAGAGCUACAUUUAUGUUGUCAGUGCUGUUUGCCCUCGUUUAAUUUCUCAAAUGACCUAAUUAUAUGUGUUCUCAAUAUGUCUUGGGAGGAAAAUAAUUGCUGAUACUGUCAAAGGCAAAAUGCUGAAUAUGUUUCAGUGCUUCUCACAUUCCAUGGCCUGAUUAUGGGCAUCAUUAAAUUACACGUUACCAUUCUUCCGGAACAUCGCAUUGAACAUGUCCUAAUGUUUCACAAUGAGAAGUGAAGCACUUCCUCUUACUUAAAAAGAAAAAUAUUUGAUUUUUACAGGAUGCCUGACACUAAUGCUUACUAUUCUGCUAUCUAUGAUGUCUUCACUUAUGGAUAUAUUUAUUAACAAGUACUUAUUAGCUAUUUAACAUUUCCUCUACUGAGUGUUAUUAAUUACAGAUGCUGUAUUAGUUUCCUAAGGCUGCUGUAACAAAUUACCACAAACGUGGUGACUUAAAACAACAGAAAUUUAUUCUCUCACGGUUCUGGAGGCCAGAAGUUCAAAAUACAGCUGGGACCAAAGGCAUCUCUAAGGAAGGAUACAGUCCUUGCCUCUUCCAGGGUUCUGUGCCUCCUGUUGGAAUGAGCUCACUAACCAGUGGAAACAAACUGUUUAUCCUUCUAUGAUGUUGCAACUGCCUGGGCUUUCUAAUGCGUCUUCAGAUUUCGGUUUGUACUCAGAACAAGUGAGAAAAGUUUUACAGCAACUCCACGAAACAAAGCAGACAGGCUCUCCUGAAGCCAAGGAGUUAUGAAAAAGGCAGGCAUCGCGCAUUGAAUCAAGUAUGCCAUUACCCUCACUCCCAUGAACCUGUCUUUCAGCACAAUCCAUGACAGCAAGAAGACAAAGGCUUUGUUACAACAGAACAGAGCGGAGACAUCCGUGGCCGUCAGCUUCUUUAAAGCCAGUAAAUAAAGGAAAGAAAAGAGAAGUUAAUAUCCAGGUACUGAUGGUGACACCUCUUGUCUUAUCUGACUCAUCGCAGCCAUUUUCAGUUCCAACCCAAGAUGAUGAUACUGACAAGAUGAUCAAGAGUCCCCAGAUGCCCUUCAGAACCAUGGACGUGCAGGACAGGCAGCGAGCCUUGAUUCUGUUUUCUUGGCUGCUGUUCUCAGAAUGAGUCUGUGUCCCAUCGUCUGCUGGAAACAGGAAAGGAAUACAAAUGUGAGGAAAGCAGGUUAUGAAACAGCAAUCAAAUAUAUCAGCUCCUUAAAAAAGAUGGAUGAAACCAAAGAGGCAGACAGUAGAAUUACCAGUGUUUUUCUUUUCUACCAUCAUUUGAAGAGACUGAUAACUUCGGCUCACUUUUUCUCUGGACUCUGUGCUCUGCACAAUACAGUAAGCAUCUGAGUCCCGAUCCAGUCCAUGAGGUUGCUCAUGCGGAUGUUAUGCUGUUUUCCAGUGUGCCCUUCCCUUGUAAGAGCAUUACACAUCCCAGCCCCCAAAGACUGGUCUUGGCCACAUGCCCUGCGCUUUCUAUUGAAUGUGAGAAGACAUGAGGCAUAACACCUCCCAUAAGAAGCCUUAGGAGGCAUCCCAAGGUCCUACCAGCUCUCUUGCUCUUCCCCUCUGUCAUUUCAAAGUAGAACGCCAAAUAGAAGGUGUUCUUUCUGUGUGGGAACAUGAGCAGAACCCAGCCAAAGCUGCUCUGUAUGCACCAACAUGAAAAGCGAGUGAGAAAUAAAUAUUCGUUUCCAUUUUCCUUUUUUUUUUUUUUUUACGUUAUAGCAAAUGGCCUGGUGCUGUGACUCAGGCCUGUCAUCUCAGCACUCUGGGAGGCCAAGGUGGGAGGAUCACUUGAAUUCAGGAGUUCAAGACCAGCUUGGCCAAGAAAGA
rnacentral:lncRNA from 1 species